rnacentral:rRNA from 1 species
CCUACGGGAGGCAGCAGUGGGGAAUAUUGCACAAUGGGGGAAACCCUGAUGCAGCGACGCCGCGUGAGUGAAGAAGUAAUUCGUUAUGUAAAGCUCUAUCAGCAGGGAAGAAAAUGACGGUACCUGAGUAAGAAGCCCCGGCUAACUACGUGCCAGCAGCCGCGGUAAGACGUAGGGGGCAAGCGUUAUCCGGAUUUACUGGGUGUAAAGGGAGCGUAGACGGCAGUGAAAGUCUGGAGUGAAAGGCGGGGGCUCAACCCCCGGAUUGCUCUUGAAACUGUACGGCUGGAGUGCAGGUGAGGUAAGUGGAAUUCCUAGUGUAGCGGUGAAAUGCGUAGAUAUUAGGAGGAACACCAGUGGCGAAGGCGGCUUACUGGACUGUAACUGACAUUGAUGCUCGAAAGCGUGGGGAGCAAACAGGAUUAGAUACCCCUGUAGUC